AUUGACCAAGCUCGAGGAUAGAGUACUCAUAAUUUAACCAGCUAGCUCUGGGUUCGAGUGGCAUUUCACCCC
rnacentral:tRNA from 1 species